rnacentral:misc_RNA from 1 species
GAAAUGCGAUACGUAAUGUGAAUUGCAGAAUUCAGUGAAUCAUCGAAUCUUUGAACGCACAUUGCGCCCGCCAGCACUCUGGCGGGCAUGCCUGUUCGAGCGUCAUUUCAACCAUCAAGCCCUAGGCUUGCGUUGGAGCCCUGCGGCUGCCGCAGUCUCCUAAAAACAGUGGCGGGCUCGCUAUCACACCGAGUGCAGUAAAUUACUCUUCUCUCAGGCCGUGUAGCGGGUUCCAGCCGUAAAACCCCCCACUAUCAAAGGUUGACCUCGGAUCAGGUAGGAAUACCCGCUGAACUUAA